UGCAUCUUACGUCACACCAAAGGAGCUGAAUUUGAGUGUUGCUUUUGAUGGUUAAAGGCGUGUGAAGGAGUUAUUGAAAGUUGCAGUACAUUUAUAAUGGCAUACAUUGGGAAAUUCACAGAUAGAAGCCCCUCUAUAAGAGCGAUUUGAAGGGACGGAGCCAUUUCUGAUGUAGCUCAAGCUGGCGGACUGGUUAAUGGGUGAUUUCUAAUCAGUUGCAUUUAUUUUAAGUUCUUUAAUUAUUUAUUGUUUUGAAACUUAUCAACUUGUUAACACUGAUUCUCUCACUGUUCCUUGUACCUGAAUGUGUUAUGUAUGAAUGUUAAAACUUUUUGUAAUGUUGUGUAAUUUUCAGUAAUGGAAUUGCUAUCAAUGUUAUAGUGGCUUUGCAACACCUGGUUUGAUUUGUAUAUUUGGUCACUGUUAAAACAAAUAAAUAUUAUGAAAAAAUUUUAAA